UCUAAAAAAUUGCUUUUCUUUCAAAAACAAGUGACCCCAAACUUUUGAACGGUAGUGUAUAAUUACGCAUGCUCUCCCUGUGUAGCCUACUCCAAGUAGUCCAGAGUAGACUGAUAAGACUGCUUUAAUUUGGUGAACUGAUAGAGGGAACAUACCAUUUUCAUAUUAGGCCCAUAAUUAGAAUAGAUCAUUACAAUAGAAUGGCCCGCCCUGUUCUUCAUUCACAAUUGGUGAUUACAUAAUUAUUCAUUGUUCGCUUCCCCUCACUCAUCAACUCCCCCAUACUUUACUUAAUUUAUGUAAUUUGUUGUUAUAUGUGUGAAAUUAGUUUUGGUCUAGUUUAGGUUCAGUUUUCAGGCAAAUGUGGAGUGAUUAUCAGCUGGGCAGUGGAGUGGAGCAGGCCCUACUGUUGGGAGAAGGAGUGGAGCAGGCCCUACUGUUGGGAGAAGGAGUGGAGCAGGCCCUACUGUUGAGAGAAGGAGUGGAGCAGGCCCUACUGUUGAGAGAAGGAGUGGAGCAGGCCCUACUGCUGGGAGAAGGAGUGGAGCAGGCCCUACUGUUGGGAGAAGGAGUGGAGCAGGCCCUACUGUUGGGAGAAGGAGUGGAGCAGGCCCUACUGUUGGGAGAAGGAGUGGAGCAGGCCCUACUGUUGGGAGAAGGAGUGGAGCAGGCCCUACUGUUGGG
ensembl:lncRNA